UACAGGGGGGGCAAGCGUUGUUCGGAAUUACUGGGCGUAAAGGGCCAGUAGGCGGCCAACUAAGUCACACGUGAAAUCCCCAGGCUUAACCUGGGAACUGCGUGUGAUACUGGAUGGCUUGAAUUCGGGAGAGGGAUGCAGAAUUCCAGGUGUAGCGGUGAAAUGCGUAGAUAUCAGGAGGAACACCGGUGGCGACAGCGGCUCUCUGGACCACAACAGACGCUGAGGCGCGAAAGCUAGGGGAGCAAACAGG
rnacentral:rRNA from 1 species